rnacentral:rRNA from 1 species
UACGGAGGGAGCUAGCGUUAUUCGGAAUUACUGGGCGUAAAGCGCACGUAGGCGGCUUUGUAAGUAAGGGGUGAAAGCCUGGUGCUCAACACCAGAACUGCCCUUUAGACUGCAUCGCUUGAAUCCAGGAGAGGUGAGUGGAAUUCCGAGUGUAGAGGUGAAAUUCGUAGAUAUUCGGAAGAACACCAGUGGCGAAGGCGGCUCACUGGACUGGUAUUGACGCUGAGGUGCGAAAGCGUGGGGAGCAAACAGG